rnacentral:rRNA from 1 species
UGCUGGAGGUAUCAGAAGUGCGAAUGCUGACAUAAGUAACGAUAAAGCGGGUGAAAAGCCCGCUCGCCGGAAGACCAAGGGUUCCUGUCCAACGUUAAUCGGGGCAGGGUGAGUCGACCCCUAAGGCGAGGCCGAAAGGCGUAGUCGAUGGGAAACAGGUUAAUAUUCCUGUACUUGGUGUUACUGCGAAGGGGGGACGGAGAAGGCUAUGUUAGCCGGGCGACGGUUGUCCCGGUUUAAGCAUGUAGGCUGGUUAUCCAGGCAAAUCCGGAUAACCAAGGCUGAGGUGUGAUGACGAGGCACUACGGUGCUGAAGUAACAAAUGCCCUGCUUCCAGGAAAAGCCUCUAAGCAUCAGGUAACAUCAAAUCGUACCCCAAACCGACACAGGUGGUCAGGUAGAGAAUACCAAGGCGCUUGAGAGAACUCGGGUGAAGGAACUAGGCAAAAUGGUGCCGUAACUUCGGGAGAAGGCACGCUGGUGUGUAGGUGAAGUCCCUGCGGAUGGAGCUGAGACCAGUCGAAGAUACCAGCUGGCUGCAACUGUUUAUUAAAAACACAGCACUGUGCAAACACGAAAGUGGACGUAUACGGUGUGACGCCUGCCCGGUGCCGGAAGGUUAAUUGAUGGGGUUAUCCGUAAGGAGAAGCUCUUGAUCGAAGCCCCGGUAAACGGCGGCCGUAACUAUAACGGUCCUAAGGUAGCGAAAUUCCUUGUCGGGUAAGUUCCGACCUGCACGAAUGGCGUAAUGAUGGCCAGGCUGUCUCCACCCGAGACUCAGUGAAAUUGAACUCGCUGUGAAGAUGCAGUGUACCCGCGGCAAGACGGAAAGACCCCGUGAACCUUUACUAUAGCUUGACACUGAACAUUGAGCCUUGAUGUGUAGGAUAGGUGGGAGGCUUUGAAGCGUGGACGCCAGUCUGCGUGGAGCCAACCUUGAAAUACCACCCUUUAAUGUUUGAUGUUCUAACGUUGGCCCCUGACCGGGGUUGCGGACAGUGUCUGGUGGGUAGUUUGACUGGGGCGGUCUCCUCCCAAAGCGUAACGGAGGAGCACGAAGGUUAGCUAAUCCUGGUCGGACAUCAGGAGGUUAGUGCAAUGGCAUAAGCUAGCUUGACUGCGAGCGUGACGGCGCGAGCAGGUGCGAAAGCAGGUCAUAGUGAUCCGGUGGUUCUGAAUGGAAGGGCCAUCGCUCAACGGAUAAAAGGUACUCCGGGGAUAACAGGCUGAUACCGCCCAAGAGUUCAUAUCGACGGCGGUGUUUGGCACCUCGAUGUCGGCUCAUCACAUCCUGGGGCUGAAGUAGGUCCCAAGGGUAUGGCUGUUCGCCAUUUAAAGUGGUACGCGAGCUGGGUUUAGAACGUCGUGAGACAGUUCGGUCCCUAUCUGCCGUGGGCGCUGGAGAAUUGAGGGGGGCUGCUCCUAGUACGAGAGGACCGGAGUGGACGCAUCACUGGUGUUCGGGUUGUCAUGCCAAUGGCACUGCCCGGUAGCUAAAUGCGGAAGAGAUAAGUGCUGAAAGCAUCUAAGCACGAAACUUGCCCCGAGAUGAGUUCUCCCUGAGACU